UAGCUGCAGGAGCUGCUGCCUCAGAAAGCGCUCACGGCAACAUGCAGUGACUGGAAACCUCCUGGAACCCUUGGCUACCCAAGUCAGAAUACCUUGAUGGAAAUGACCAUUGGAAUGAAGAAACUGAAGGAAGAGAUGGCGGGAGUGGUUAAAGAGCUUGCUGAGAAUAAUCACAUCUUGGAAAGGUUUGGAGCUUUGACUGUGGAUGGAGGAAUUCAGAACACCAAUCGGCUGUAAGCUGGAAUGCACAAGCUGUGUUGUUCAACAGGAACUACAGUCCCUUCCAGUUAUCAAUCCUAGUGUACCCUGCUCUAAAUCUUCUUGUGUGUGAAGACUGUGAAAGUUGACACUCAAAUGUACAUAGAAGGGAAAAAAAAGGAAACCUCGGUUGUUUAUUUUCCCCCUCUUGUUAUUACCUUGGUGUAAUUAUUUUGUUCCAAUCCGUGCGGUCCACAGCAAAAUAGUAGCAAAAUCCUUGAACAGUGUCAGAAGCAUGGUCAAUAAAAUAAAUUUAAGACCACCCCCCCCACUUCCAAAGAUUGGGCAGGGGUGGGGUGACCGUCACGGGGGUGUGGGGUUGGAGAAGAUGACAAAGGGUGCUUCACAGGUGCCCACGUACACCCUCUGCUCCUGUACCAAAUACCUGCUGAGUGCUACUUGUCUCAAAGUUUCCCUUUGAUUUGCAAAGCUGUUUAAUGAGGCUGUGGCCUUGACAUGUGCUUUCUGAACUUUAAUUCUUUGAUUAUUAAAUUUGUGGAGAUGGGGAAAGGAAUUCAGACUUGAGCGACAUUCUGCAUAUUUCCACAGAUGGUAGCUUCAGAUGAGACCAAUGGUGAAAGUGAUGAAAGCAGUUGUUAACAUUGAUUACGCUAUAAGCUUGGAACCGAAAUGAUUUGAUGAACGGCUGAUUGUGCCUUUGUUAAGAAUGUGAAUACAGCCCCUCUUACUUGUAUAUAUGUAUAUAAUUGUAUGCAUAACUUAACACUUACACCUUCUAUUGAAUAGAACAUACAGUGCAGAUGGAAGCUGAGCUUGUUUUAAAAGAAGUUUGAAAUCUAUAGAUGUUAGCGAUUUUGUUAUUUUACCUAUUUGUUAAUGUGAUGUGAGCAUUACUGAUGAGGCCUGCAUGUAUUGCUCAUCCUCGAUUACUCUUAAGAAGAUAGUGACAAGCUUCUUGAAUCGCUGCAGUUUAUGUGGGGCGCCCUUAUGGUGGGAUUGCAGGAAUUUCAAUCAGCACCAGAUGAGGAAUGACCAUAUAAAGACAAAUUGCUGGAGAAACUCAGCAGGUCUGGCAGUGCCUGUGGAGAGAAAGCAGAGUUAACAUUGUGACCCUUCUUCAGAACCCUGGAAUGGCUAUAUAUAUCUAUAUAUAAUUUCCAAAUCUAUGUUGUGGGUUGGGAGCUGAUGUUGAAGGAGCCUUGAGGUGCUGCAGUGCAUCUUGCAGGUGGAAGAUGAUGCAUAUUGCUACACCUAUGAACUGGUGGUGCUACAAGUGAAUGUUUGAGGAGGUGGAUGUGGUGCCAAUCAAGCAGUUGCUUUGUCCUGGAUCAUUUUUAGCCUCUUGAGUGUUACUGGAGCUGUGCUCAUUAAGGCAAGCGGAGAGUAUUCCAUCGUACUCAUGACCUGUGCUUUGUAGAUGGAGGACAAGCUUUGGGUGGUGAGGGGAUAAGUAACUUGCUGCAGAAUUCCCAUCCUCUGCCCUGCUUUUCUAGUCACAGUAUUUAUAUGGCUGGUCUAUUUAAGUUUCUCAUUAUUGGUGACCAUUCGGGAUGUUUAUGUCAUGUAUCUUAUAACUGCAUAAACUAACUCUCUCUCUGUUUUAAAAUAUGGCCUAGUCUCUUCUGUAUAAUGAAGUUGCACUCCUAGUGCAGUGAUAUUAAGACGGGGUUUCCUGUCAUCUCUGUAAAUUACGUAAAGAUAUAUAUAUAUUUUCAAACUCUUAUAAUCAGUAAUACAUUUGAAUUUGUUUGUGGGACAAGCCGCUGCCUGGAUAAAUUGACCAAAGGUAUUCCAAUGCUGACUGGACUAAAUAUUGUAGCAAAUAAAUAUUUUUGAUUUGGA